GAUGAACGCUAGCGGCAGGCUUAAUACAUGCAAGUCGAGGGGCAGCAGGGUGUAGCAAUACAUCGCUGGCGACCGGCAAACGGGUGCGGAACACGUACGCAACCUUCCUUCAAGCGAGGAAUAGCCCAGGGAAACUUGGAUUAAUACCUCGUAACAUUGUGAAGUGGCAUCACUUUAUAAUUAGAGCUCAGGCGCUUGAAGAUGGGCGUGCGACUGAUUAGGUAGUUGGCGGAGUAACAGCCCACCAAGCCUGCGAUCAGUAACUGGUGUGAGAGCACGACCAGUCACACGGGCACUGAGACACGGGGCCCGACUCCUACGGGAGGCAGCAGUAAGGAAUAUUGGUCAAUGGACGCAAGUCUGAACCAGCCAUGCCGACGUGGAGGAUGAAGUCCUCUGGAUU
rnacentral:rRNA from 1 species